UGUACAGUAUGUAGUACUUUAGAGAGUGAAGGAAUGGGGGGUAUAUAUUUACUUUCUACUAAGGAUGUUGGCCGAUAUUAUUGUCCCGACAUCAGCUUAAUUGUGUAAUAUUUGUAAGAAUCGUUAGCUGGUUUUUCCUCCGAUAACAAACACCUGGUAACGCAUAGCCUGGGUUUCACCAAAUGAUGUGUGCUCUAAAAAUAGUUUUGGGGGAAAACGGCUGUAUAUGAAGGUAAAAGCCACUAGAUGGCAGUAUUCUAGCUCAUUUUAUUAAUCUCUAUUAAUAAUCAGGGGAUCGUUUGCAGAAUGCUUUUUACAGAUAAACAAAUAAAUAUUAAAAAAAUCUAUUUUGAUUUGAUAUUAAAAAAUCAAAUUUAAAUUCUUUUCAAGGGAGUUCCGUCCCUUCCAAUCACAGCAGUCAUCAGUUGAGGGCGGGGUCACGCCUUGGGAUGACCUCCACUAGGGCACAUAUAGAGAUAAGCACCUAUUUUAUGUGACUCGUACCAGGAAGCCGUUGGGGAUGGAGCUAUGCCGUCAUGUGGAGCAGUUCGGGUCAAUGGCACUAAUGGGACCUUGCUGCAGUCCACGACCCAGAUGUUUUUUUAAAUAGUUCUUCCUGUAGAUGAAUGUCGUGGAAGAAGACAUUCUGAUUCCCUAAACUUGAUCAGAAUACGAGGCUGGGACCAGAGAGGCAGUAGUGAAUGUGUACACCCUGAAGCCUGAAGCUUUUGCACAGUACUGCAUAUACCUGACUCUCCUCCCCUGCGAUGUGUACUGUAUAUUAAAUGAACCCAGGAUUUCCAGCCACCGAGGAUAUUUGAGUUCAGAUCAACUCUUCAAAGAAAACGACACUGUAGCCGAGAUUCAAAUAAAAUCUUUGGCCAAACAAAAAACCUGUUUGGGUUCAUGGACAAAUGUCUCUGAUUCAGGUGAGGACGUCAACAGCUGAGGCUGAAGUUUAAAGAUCAGUCAGAGCCCACAGAACUCUGCAACCCCCCCGCCCCCACUACAGUCCAGGACUCCUGUGGGGGAGGCAGUCUUAACGGAUGAGGACAACCGCUGCUGCACAUUAGGGCUGACAGCUAGAUACUUCAAUAAUCAUUUAUUCAAUAUUACACCUACAUUAUAAAUGAUCACUGUCUCUGACCUCAAACAUCCACCAGCAGGUGUCACCUCCCAGUAUCAGAGCUGGACACAAGGCCCACGGUGCUUGUUAAGGAAUGCUAAGUGUGUGUGUGUGUGUGUGUGUGUCUUCUAAACAUUCAGUUCACAAACAGUUAGAGAAUGAUGUCAAUGAUGAUUUAUAAAGAAUAGAUAUUUUUAGAAUAGAUUAAUGGACUAAACCUAUGAAAUGGACCUUGUUUUGUUUUGGUGGUAGAUGCGACCAGGCUUUACUCAGUUAGCUUCUGUUUUUAUUAUUCCUAUCAUGUGCAUGGUUCCCUGGGGCUUUUUUUGUGUUUUUGUUUGUUUUGCACCAUAUAGAAUUGUUUUCAUAAAAUCAUGUUUAGUGUCACAUGACACAUCUUCAAAGUGUAUGGAGAUUUUGCACAGAUCCUCAUGCAGAACACACACAGUCAUUCUUCAUUACCUUGACCCACAGCCUUAACUGUUACACAUUUUUGGUAAAAAAAAAAGUUAUGCAGAUGACUGCUGUCUCGCAGCUUAGAAGAAAUGUGGGACAGAAUAAAUUAUUUUUAAAAGUUGCUUCUCUCCUAUUAUCUCGUUUCAUCAACCCGAGUGGUUCUCAAACUAUGGCACGCAUAUACCAAUGCUGGUGGUGCUCCCUCUAGUGUUUGAUCAGAAAUCCUUUUUUUAAAAACUGUGCUGGCAAAUUUACCUGGACUCCGAUCAAACAUGUAAUUUCCAGUUGUGAUUUUCAGAGACUCUCUCUCGGCUGUUUUUAGUCUAGUACCGUCCUCAGCUCCACUGACGAGAAGGUGAGAAAUGAGAGGAUCUAAUGUUUGCCCCACUGGUGACUAUUCCUCUCUGUAUUAUGUUCUCCUAAUGCUGCUGCUGUCCAGCAUUAUUAAUGAGUCCCUGCUUUCUUUUUAUCCCUUCACAAGAUACAGUUGAUGGGCUCCGAGCCCCAGACCACGUGUUAUAUGAAGAAGUUCUCCAAUAUUUAAUUACUGCUGACCUGCUGUCUUUCCUGCCAUUGACCUGGGAGCAGCUGGGAGGUAAACUGAUAUAUCUGUGUAGGUAGUGAAGGGGAGUAGGGUGUGGGGGUGGCGGUGGGGGGUUACAUGUAGUAAAUUGAAAUAUGUGAAAAAGUUUACAAACCAUAUUUUUUAGAAAAGUUAGAUCCCAUUUAUUUGUUUGUUUAAUUUGCUGUCUUUUUACAAUUUAUUUGCAAAAUUAGACUAAACAGUAUUUCUACAUUUCCACAUUAUAAGAAUUGGGGUUAAAAAUAAUUGAGUAUUUGACUAAAUUUAAAUUUUUCACAUCACUUCAUUUAAAAGGCUAAUUUAAUUUCACAUAUAGACUUGGUUUGGUCAGUUAAAAUGAUAAAAAACCUGAAUUACUACUCUGUUGAUAAUAAAAGCGAAUACAUUUAUGCUCAGAGACGCGCAUGGAUUAUAUUAUGCAUUGUUUCGGUCGGGGCUUUAUGCUAUUUUAAGCCAUUACACGCCAGUGAUUUUAUUCUGAUGGGAAUAAAAUAAUUGUUUGCUGUUUUUCAUGUAGCGAGGUAAAAGGAGUCAAAUGUUCUGCGGGGGAUUAACACGGUGGGUCGUUUCUCUCCUGGGCUCCGUCUCCUGAGUCGGUGACACUCACCAAGGAGAGGCUUCUGUGCGAGAAAACUCAACAGAGCCUGAGCGUUUGCAAAAUGCAGAUGUAGGACAGAUCCUGCAGAUACCACAGCGGGGCACUUCACCUACGGUAGUUAUUUCUGCCUAAGAAGAUCAGUAACGUCGGUGUUUAAGCCUGAGCAGGAUGCUGACAGCAGCCGUUGAACCUGCACUAGCUUUACUGUGAUAUGUCAAACACACAGCUCUGUUUAAGGGGCUCAGCUGGAAAUCUGUCAGAGCAUUGGCUUCUGGGUAAUUUCCCUGAUUAGACAAGACACUGUAAAUGUAUUGAGCGUGUGCAAUUGCUCCAGGUGUUUAUGAAGCAAUGAUAGACUUUAGCAGGAGCGAGGCUGCCCCCCAGGAUCACUCUAAUAUAAUGGUGAACAUUUACCUCUUGGUUUGGCUUGUCAUCAAUGUGUAACAUAUGCAGUUUGUUUGUUUUUUUCUCUUCCUUGUCAAAGUAAAGAUCUUAGCAUUUUCCUGUGUUGUUGUGGCGCAGGCUGUUAGCUCACUCGACCCCUAGAGCCUGGUAAUGAUAAGAGUUUGUGAGAGAUAACGUGAGGAUAUGUGUAGGAGGAACACAGCCAGAGCAACAUCUUACUGUGGCAGCCUGCUGUUUAAAAGGUUGCUGACUGUUUACUGUGUUUGUACACUUUGUACAUCAGCAGAUCCACCCUCAAUUAACUGGACCUUGAUGUAAACAACAACAUGCAGUUCUGUGGUACAAAGUGCUAGUCUGGGGGCUUUAUGUCAACUUACAAAGUUCUCUUCUCGCCAACAUGUGUAACUUAAAAAUAUAAUGCUCAGAAAGUGAAUAAAAAAACACAAGGUGAAAAUGACAAUAAAAAUAAGGAAACUAAAAGAACAACCCAAGCAGAAUUGUCUGCAGCAGGCUUUAGUAUAAGUCCAUGUGCUAAAAAUACAAGGGUCAAAAGUUCUGUUAUGAUCACUGAAACAUGUUAAGACAGGCCUCUCAGGCGCCUGCAACGGCUUUGACAAGUUUUGUCAUCAUGUCUUUGACAAGUACUGCGCUUUGAUACGUUUGAUUUGAAAGAACAUUUGAAAAGAACUGCAUCUCGAUUCCUAAGAUGGGACAAAGAAGGACGAACGAAGGAAUUUGGGAAUUUAGCAAACCUUAGUUAAAUAGUGGGUAUGUCGAAAAAUAAGAUGAUUUUUAUUUAUUUUCAUAAAGACAUGUUUUACAUUUGUCUUUAUGAAAAUACUUUUAAGUGACUCAACCUAAGAAAUAAAAAAUAAAAAUCCCAUAAUUGUAUAACCCCUAGAGUAGAACCCAUACUGCUUCUGUGGCUAAAUAAAAAAAAACACGUUAUGAGAAAACACAGAUUUUAUUAUCUGUAGGGUGUAGGGUAAAUUACUGUAGCUUUAAAAACUAAAAUAGCCAAAUAAAUCAUCUGUGCAAAAUAGUUUUCUCUGUGCUGCGCAAGAGCAUAUUCUUAGAGUCCAUUAGACGUGCAACUAUCGAGCUGAAGAGACUGCAGCUAAACCUGAAGCUGAACUGAUAUGUCCAAACAGGAGCAAACUGGAUGAAGUGCUUGCGCUGUAAUUUCUUGAACCACAUAAUUAAGAACUGUACAGUAGUGUUAAUGUUGUCGACGUCAUCAUCUUUUUUUUGUCAAAUACGUCAUUAACGACCACUUUUCUUAAAACGAAAACUUGAACGUGAACUAUAUAGGAAGUUAUGGCGGUUCAAACGAGAGUGACGGACACUUAAGUCAACUCAUAAAAAGGACAAGAAAUCAGAUUGACAGGGACAAGGACCAAUCAGCGUUAAACAUUUCAUAAGGCCCGCCAAGACAAAAGCCAAUCACAGGUAUGUUUAUUGGCCAGAAGGCGGGAGAUGUAAACGGAUAUUCAAUCACAGCAAAUGUUUUUCCGGCAAUAGAAGACUUUUGGUCAAUAUAUUAAAUGUGGUCACAAAGUCGUGACCAAAACAUGUCGGAUACAUUUAUGGACGCAUUUGACUUUGACGUCAGCGAAAACAGAAAUGUAAACCGUGCGCAGCGACUGUUGGAGAAAAGAACAAACUAACUAAGGCAGACAUACCAUCCUAGGAUUUACACCAAGAGUUUGGAUCUGUGAUGGCACCAAGCAUUCUCUGGGAAACGAGGAGGACGCAGCACAGCACUCAAGUCCACUCCUACCACACAACUCCAGCGGGAAGAGAUGCUGUACACGGAUACUGCGCGGAGCAGUUCUACAGGGACCGACAGCCGCCAUCGUGAGGUACUGGAUUUUAGGAGGAAGGUGGAGGAACCGGAGAAGCCCAGUCAACCGUGUGGAGAUCAUGUGACCGACACCACCAGUCAUGAGCGUCCUGUCCUUCUCUGCGUCAUCUUUACCUUUGGCACCAGACCACAGCAGAGAACAGGAGCUAGCAGAGCUAACGUGUCAUUAGCUUGGAAGCAUCCAGCUGAGCAUGCCCAGUUCAAAGAGGAUAACAACAGGUAAGCUGCUAACGCUAACGCUAACCCGAACAUUGCAAAUUGUGUUGAGCAACAUGAUCAGUCAGCCAAAAUGAGAGCUGCUUUUUUUAAAUUAUUCUUAUUUGUACCAAAAUGCUUCCAGAAGUUUAGACUUAGACUGAUCUUUGUUAGACUUGUUCCCCAUUUUCUCGUGGCUGGUCACAUGACUGAACGUUAAAGAGCAACAAUAGAACAGAACAGAAAUUGAGUGACCUGCCGAAACAGACAAAAUAAACUGCCAAGUCCACGAGCCUAACAACCAGAGGCUAGAGAACUCUGAAGGUCUAAACACACACACACACACACACACACACACAGCCUUAAAUGACAUUAAUGUGGAGUUUUGUGCUGCUGUGAUUUUUCUGGAAAUGUGAAGUCUCUGUGUGUGGCUGUGUUGACAUUGUUGAUUCUGAGAAGGCUUCACACUGGGCUCGGGGGGGGGAGGUUCUGUGGCAACAGCUGAAUCCUGGCACCAGUGGGAUGGCAGAAGUGAUGGAGAGCCACAUUUAGCAGAUCUUUUGUUAAAGUGUGCGUUUUAGUCCUCAUGUCUGCGUGUGUGUGUGGGUGUGUGUGUGUGUGUGUGUGUGUGCGCGCGCGCUCAGAGGAAGGAACUGUGAGGUGAAGCAGUGACACGGUUGGAUGUGUCACUGCUCUGUGGACGUUUAAGUUAAUGCACAGUAGAUGGAACUGAUGUAGUUUGAGGUGUAAGUAAAUACAGAUCCUCUGAUGCUGUGUCUGUGCUGCAGGUGUCUGAUCCUCCAUCAGUGUGUGCUCUUGUGUUUGGUGAAAGUUGACCCUAAUUUAACGCCCUACGAUGCUCUGAUCAUCUUCUCAGGCCUCUGUCACGCUGGCGGCGGCCACCCGCUGUCUCUGUUUCUGGGGACGGACAGUUCCUCUCCAGCCCAUACAUUAACCCAAAUAUUGAAAUAAUUCACAUCAUUUUUGUUCCGACUCUAAUAACCUUUAGAAAUAAUGUCUUUUCCCCCGGCUGUGAGGAAACUGCCAAGAAUUUUAUACUUUUCCCUGGUUCACUGUUCCGAGCCCCGACGUACAGAACAUUAAGCCUUCACAUUACACAUCUGAGACCGGGGGUCUUCCCUGGGACCCCAGGUUUUCCACAACAAUCUCUCAUCUAUUAAUCACCCUUGUUUUAAUUAGGUCCAAACUGGGAGGUAGAGAAAAGGGUGAGUUAAAGUCUGAGCACGUUCCCCGACCUUUACGGUCCUGGACGGAGAACCGACUCUUUGAUGGUGGGAAACUGAAGUGGGUGGGUGGGUGAAGAGUGGGUGAGAUCUCCUCACUGUUCAGUUCUUUGUGGACCGGUCAGGUCCCUCAGGUCCAGCACUAAGGUUUUACUGUUGGUUUGUUUACAUGUGGUCGGUGUUGUGUACUGCAUCUGAAGAGUAUGAAUAGACAGGCAGACACCCCCCCCCCCCUCACCAUCCUCCUCCUCCCCCCGUGAUAAACUGCUCUGUGAGCUCCGGAGAGUCAUUACCAUAAUAUUCAUGUGAUCCACUCAGGUCAAUGGUAUGCUAACGAUGCUAACGUCCUGCUCCUGCUCGGGGCAGAAGUCUGAAGAAGCGUAUCGAUUGUUGGUGGAAUAUUUAAUCUGAUCCAUAUCUUUAUCAUCUCUGUCUUUUAUUUUAAUGCAAAAGAUGAGAUACCCAGUACUUACACUCCUCAUGUUUCCCACGCACACAUCUAUUGAUUUUUGUUGCAUUUUUGAACAAAAACACAAAGAAUAAUGAUCAAUUAGGCUAAUGGAGGGACGCUGAUCAAAUGACCUUUUCCUUCAUCUUUGCAAAAAAAAAAAAAAUCCCAGGAUGACAGAGACUUCUAGGAGGAAACACCACACCACAGCAGCGCUGGCCUCCUUUCAUCAUCCUGUCCCUGAACAACAUGGAAAUCAUCAAACUUUCUUUUUAAACACAGACUGAUUUGAGGAAAAGGUCGACGAGGAUUCCUCUAUAAUUUGCUGAUAAUUUACAGAAACCUGGGCCUCAUUAUUCUGACUCCAGACUCCAGUUAACAAUCCUCCAAAAAUAACAUAGCGCACGGGACAGAUGGAGCGUGACUGUCGUCAUCACAGUUUCAAACGGAUGGAGCAGCUCGGCCGCAGCCUGCAGAUCAAACCCCUGAUGGUGGCGCCGUUAGACCGCGUCUGCUGCAAAUAUCCCCCAAACACAGAACGACCACGUCCCCACAGGAGGACGUGCACGUGAUGACGAUCAACAACUCAAUCCUUAACUACAACAGUCUGGAAGUUUAACUCACACCUGUUCAAAGAACCAGUGAACAAGUGUGAAGUCAUAAAAUGUUAGAGGCGUCAUUUUAGAUUAAAGAUCCAAAUACUGGUGCCAU